rnacentral:rRNA from 1 species
AUUGAACGCUGGCGGCAGGCCUAACACAUGCAAGUCGAGCGAGCGGCGGACGGGUGAGUAAUGUAUGGGGACUGCCCGAUAGAGGGGGAUAAAUACGGGAAACGGUAGCUAAUACCGCAUACUAUGGGAUAACGCAGAUGGGAUUAGCUAGUGGGUGGGGUAAUGGCUCACCUAGGCGACGAUCCCUAGCUGGUCUGAGAGGAUGAUCAGCCACACUGGGACUGAGACACGGCCCAGACUCCUACGGAGGCAGCAGUGGGGAAUAUUGCACAAUGGGCGCAAGCCUGAUGCAGCCAUGCCGCGUGUGUGAAGAAGGCCCUAGGGUUGUAAAGUACUUUCAGUCGUGAGGCGUUACCUACAGAAGAAGCACCGGCUAACUCCGUGCCAGCAGCCGCGGUAAUUC